UGAACAUAGGCAUACAAGGGGCAGGGCGUGAAGUGCUUGCACACUUGGUUCAAGCGAGCGAAAUGGUUGCAAACUUACAAAAUGGCGGAUAUUUUCUGAAAUUAUCGCGUGUUCGCUUGUUUUUUUUAUCAGAUCUUUUCAGGUCUAGAUGCUAUGAACAUCAGACGCUAUUAUGACCCGAGAGCAUGAACAUGAAUCUUCAUUAGUUGAACAAACUACGCUAACACGUAUAUCAGAAAUAACCGUUAGAGACCACGAGUUAAACCGAAGGAAAGGAAGCGUACCAAAGUAUGGAACAUUAAGAAAAUUGAAUGAUAUAUGAAGAGGUGUCCGACCACUUAAUUCACAUUACAGAGUUGACGAGUCCACUAAGACUAUAUUUUGAGCGAACUCACAAAUUAAAAUACAGCGCAACAGUUACGCUGUAUACAGUGGAUUGAAUUUGAUAAACUAUAACAAGAAAAUGUUCGGCUGCAAUUAAAUCCGUCUUUUCUGAAAAUGAACCAGUGAUUUUUUUUGGAAAAAAUAAAGGUGCCUGUGCCCGCUGAAUUGGGAAAAUAAGCGCGAUAAUUCCCCAAAUUGGGAAAAAUAUAAAUAUGUUUAAUUUCCAUACUAAGUGAUAUA
rnacentral:lncRNA from 1 species